CCUACGGGAGGCAGCAGUGAGGAAUAUUGGUCAAUGGGCGGAAGCCUGAACCAGCCAAGUAGCGUGCAGGAUGACGGCCCUACGGGUUGUAAACUGCUUUUAUACGGGAAUAACGCGCCUUACGUGUAGGGCUUUGCAUGUACCGUAUGAAUAAGGACCGGCUAAUUCCGUGCCAGCAGCCGCGGUAAUACGGAAGGUCCGGGCGUUAUCCGGAUUUAUUGGGUUUAAAGGGAGCGUAGGCCGCAUGUCAAGCGUGCUGUGAAAUGUCCGGGCUCAACCCGGGCCUUGCAGCGCGAACUGGGGGGCUUGAGGCCGCGGGAGGCAGGCGGAAUUCGUGGUGGAGCGGUGAAAUGCUUAGAUAUGACGAAGAACCCCGAUUGCGAAGGCAGCUUGCUGCAGCGGAACUGACGCUGAUGCUCGAAAGCGCGGGUAUCGAACAGGAUUAGAUACCCCAGUAGUC
rnacentral:rRNA from 1 species